rnacentral:rRNA from 1 species
AGUGAACGCUGGCGGUAGGCCUAACACAUGCAAGUCGAACGGCAGCACAGUAAGAGCUUGCUCUUACGGGUGGCGAGUGGCGGACGGGUGAGGAAUACAUCGGAAUCUACUUUUUCGUGGGGGAUAACGUAGGGAAACUUACGCUAAUACCGCAUACGACCUACGGGUGAAAGCAGGGGAUCUUCGGACCUUUCGCGAUUGAAUGAGCCGAUGUCGGAUUAGCUAGUUGGCGGGGUAAAGGCCCACCAAGGCGACGAUCCGUAGCUGGUCUGAGAGGAUGAGUGGCCACACUGGAACUGAGAAACGGUCCAGACUCCUACGGGAGGGCAGAGGGGGGAAUUUUCGGCAAAGGGCGAAAGGUUGACGGAGCAACGCCGGGGGGGGGAAGAAGGGCCUCGGGUUGUAAAACCCUUUUUUUAGGGAAAAAAAAAAGGGUGGUUAACCCCCCGCUUCUUGACGGUAACCAAAAAAAAAACCACGGCUAACUUCGUG